ACCUGGAACAGCUCAGUCAGUAAAGCAUAAGAUUCUUAAUCUCAGGGUUGUGGGUUCAAGCCCCACAUUGGGCA
rnacentral:tRNA from 1 species